CCUUGUGAACUUGGCCAGUGUGCACGGGAACGUCGGGUGCGUGGGGAACGGUCAUUGCUGUUGAAAAGGACCAGUGAAUACUGGUCGUGAUUUCUCAUUUAUUUUGUAAUAAUAUAUCCAGCAUUCACAAUUGUGUCACAGUUUGGAAUAACAUUGGAAUUGCUGGUAGAGUUUGUCUGGUGGAUGUCAAUAAAACUCAUGAUGACACAGAUGUCGACAAGCAGAUGCCUUAGGAAAUGGAAUUAAAUCUUCCUCAGGACGUGAUGGCAGUGGGAAACAAUGGGCAUGAAGAGCACUUGCGUUUAAUUAAUAAUCUACUAAUUAUCUUGAAAGUGAUAAGUGAAAGGGUUAGUCACUCAGCUGUGUCUAAUUCCAUGUGACCCCAUGGACUGUAGCCCUCCAGGCUCCUCUGUCCAUGGGAUUCUCCAGGUAAGAACACUGAAGUGGGGUGCCAUCUUCUUCUCCAGGGGCUCUUCCAGACCCAAGGACUGAACCUGGGUCUCUUGUAUUACAGGAGUACUCUUAACCAUCUGAGGCACCAGGGAAGCCUAAUUUUCUUAAAUUAGCUCAAACUCCUGGAGUCCAAAUUACAGCAGCUGGCAGUGGCAAAAACUAAUUAAAUGAGCCCCCAGAUCUGAUGAGACAUGUCCAUGAUGCCUCGAUUUGGCCCACUUCUCCACCGUGGUCUCCACCGUGGUCCAGUGGCCAUGAUGGGUCACGUGGGCUCUUGCUCAUUUUUUCUAAUGCGCCUCCCUGCUGUACACACUCCCUUCUACCCAUAUUUUAACUCAGUAGCCAGAUACAUCUUUCAGAUUACAAAUCUGAUUCCCUGCCCUUCAAAAAAAAAAAAAAGAGAGAGAGAGAGAGACUAUUCUUUUGGAGAGCGCAGUGGAAAAGAAAACCCCUCUCACGGCCCGCGUGGUGUCCACCCUGCCUGCUUCUCCCCUGCCCCAGCCUCUCUGCACGAGCCACACCGGCCUUGUUCCCGUUCCUCAGAUCUGUCAGUUCCUUUCAGUCACAGAACCCGUAUGUCCUCCAGAUCACAUCCCCCAGUCGCUUUCACACCCCACCCGCUCUCCUGUGCAGCACGUGUAGCUGAGACACUGGUAUUAGUAGUUCUCUGUACAAACUGUUGGUGUGUCUUCCUCCUCAGAUGAAGUCAGGGGCCAUGUUGAUCUUGUAUCCUCUGCCCGACCCACUGUGCAACCUGGCCCACUCUAGUGCUCAGUCUUUAUUAUGGCCCAGCAAUUCCACUCCUCGGGAGGGGUUCAGUAGACAGGACAGGUUGUGUCCAUCAAAAGACAUGAGUGGAAAUGCUCAUAGUGACUUUAAUAGCCAAACCUUGGCAGCAGCCCAAUUGCCAUCAACAGGAAAAUGGAUACAUAAACUGUGGUCUAUUCAAAUUAAUACAAUGAAAUACUACACAGCAAUACAAAAAGAGCAAAUUAGUAUGACAUGCAAGAAAAUGGAUGAAUCUCACAGACACAAAGUUCCGUGAAAGAAGGCAGACACAAAACAGUGUAUUUUUUGUGAUUAUUCUCAUAGGAAGUUUAGCAAUAAGGGAAGUCACCUGUUAGAGGAGAAUGGUUAGGAAGAAUUUGCUAAACACAGGCACCCUGUAGAGCCCUUGACAAGCCUUGACUCACACGAAAUCUGCAAACCCUGUGACGCUGAUUCUUUUUGGAUCCCGUUUGUCAGAUGAGGGAAGCUCUGUGAGGAGUGUCGACUUAAAAAACCGUCACCAGCUGAAAGCUGAGAGUGAUGUUUUAUCUGGUUGGGUUUUUAAGAUGUCAAGCCUGGGAGACUGCAUCUCAAGGGACCCUGAGAGUACUGUCCCCAGGAGUUGGGGAGAGUCAGCUUAUAGAGGAAUCUGCAUCGAGGGGCAGGCAAUCUGAACAUCAAAAGAGUAUUGUUAACUAAAGAAAACCAGUUAUCGCAAGGAAUUUAGCGCUUUUCCAUGUGUGCUAAGUCGCUUCGGUCUCGUGUCCGACUCUUUGCAACCGCAAGGACUGUAGCCCGCCAGGCUCCUCUGCCCAUGGAUUCUCCAGGCGAGAACACCAGGGUGGGUGGCCAUGCCCUCCUCCGGAGAUCGAAGUCGUGUCUCCUAGUUUCCUGCGUUGGCAGCUGAGUCCUUCCGCACCAGCAUGGAGGGAAGGUGGAGUCUGGGCUCCCUGAGAUCUCUCCUUCCACAGGCACCUCACCUGUCUGGGGCCAGCGCCCUGUUUUCACAUCCUGAGCUCCCUUUCCUCAGGGCUCCCCGGAGGAAUGGCUGCAGUCUGAUGGCUGUAGGGCUGCAGGCUCUCCUCUCCCUGAGCUCCCGCAGGGCUCGCUGGAGGAAUGAAUGGCUGCCAUCUGAUGGCUGUAGGGCGGCAGGCUCUCCUCUCCCCUGAGCUCCCUUUCCUCAGGGCUCGCUGGAGGAAUGGCAGCCGUCUGAUGGCGGUAGGGCGGCAGGCUCUCUUCUCCCUCCUGAGCUCCCGCAGGGCUCCCCGGAGGAAUGGCUGCCAUCUGAUGGCUGUAGGGCGGCAGACUCUCUUCUCCCCCUGAGCUCCCUUUCCUCAGGGCUCCCCGGAGGAAUGGCUGCCGUCUGAUGGUGUAGGGCUGCAGGCUCUCCUCUCCCCUGAGCUCCCUUUCCUCAGGGCUCCCCGGAGGAAUGGCAGCCGUCUGAUGGUGUAGGGCGGCAGGCUCUCUUCUCCCUCCUGAGCUCCCUCAGGGCUCGCCGGUUCACCCCAGGGAGGCUCGUGGCUGAGGCGCCCUUGUGUACGCCGCCUCCCAGGAGGGACACUGGCCGAGACCACACUUGCUAAGUGCAGAGUCCCUGCUCCCCCCGGUGGCCCUGUGCUGUCCUGACGAUUGUAUCAGCUGCUGCACAAGAACAAGCCGCUGGGGCUGCUGGGCCAAAAGGCUGCGUGAGAGCAAACGCCGCGCCUUCCCCGCCCGGCCUGAGGUACCACGGGGCUCAGUACUCCUGUGACUCGUCCUACGAGAAAACGGAGGCUCAGAGUGGCCGCUCGACGCCAUGUAACUGCGUGGCGUUGCAUUUGUACGGUUUUGACUGAAUUCUGUUGUGUGGGUUGAUUCUAAGUGACUUCCACAGUCUCCCUGAACCACACUGCUUGUGUAGACAUUUUCACGGUCCUCGAGCACUUUCGCCUUCUUGAGCCUUUCCUCCAUAAGACAAAUAUGACAAAGUAUAGUUUAUGAUUGCCUUGGCAUAAAGAGAAAUGUAACUCAGGCUGGGUUAGUACAUUC
ensembl:lncRNA